rnacentral:lncRNA from 1 species
GAUACAGCGGUAGCUGCAAACUUGGUCGUUUGGAGCACAGCUCGUCAGGCAGUCGAGCGCCUUGCGGCAACUUGGAUCCAAGAGGCAAGCCAGAAUCUCCUUCCCGCAGUUCUUGGCCAUGCACUGGAUUUGUGACAAGCUCGUGGCUCGCAGGUUUUUCAGCAGCGGCACGGGAGCUACGUACGAGUCGAUGAGAACCAGGAGCGCGAAGCACACGUUGUCGCUGCUGUGACGGCUCCAAGCGUUGGUGACAAGGUCCAGAACCUUCAAGCCUUUGGCGAGCUUCGUUACUGGGACGAUCGAGCGCAGCCGGUCCACCGGGCUCUCCAAAGGCAAAACUUUGACACCUCCCAGCCAGGUACCGGAAUUGUCCGUGGAGUCGAAGCAAAUCCUUGUAGGCACUGACGAGCUCGCGCUGUUGAUCCAGCUUACAGUGUCGGGAUUUCCGAGCCCGAGUCCCAGGAGUAUAUCAGCUUUCGCGACCGCCGAGGAGAACUCUCGAUUCUCUGGAAGUG